GAAGCAGUGGGAGUGGAGAAGGAAUAAAGAAAUCUGUAACUGGCUGUGAUCAAUUAAUUGUAAACACCAUUGUAAAACAAUGACAUUAUCAAAA